AUAGGGAUUUUUGCACAUCGAUGAAUAUCCUCCAGAUGCUAAUCAGGGUUUUGACAUUCCAUCAGCUGUAAUAAUCUUUCCAAAUUUCCAGACAAACAUGCAUUAUCUUGAAGAUAACUCUUCAAACAAGUCACCCAUGUUGUCUAAAUUUCAGGAAAAGAGCCCAGUUCUGUCUUACACAGAAGUAUUACUUGUACCAUUGACAACUCCUGAUUUUAGUAUGCCUUACAAUGUCAUCACAAUUACAUGCACGGUGUUUGCAUUAUAUUUUGGAUCUUUGCUCAAUGUACUUCGAAGACGUGUUGGCGAAGAGGAAA